UCUAAAAUGGCAGAUAAAUGCCUAAGAUUUAAGCUCUUAUCAUGGAGGUCCCACCUCCUUUUAGAA
rnacentral:tRNA from 1 species